UAGCUCAGUCAGUAGAGCAUGAGACUCUUACUCUCAGCGUUGUGGGUUUGAGCCCCAC
rnacentral:tRNA from 1 species